rnacentral:rRNA from 1 species
GAUUGCGAAGGCAGCCUGCCAAGCCAUGACUGACGCUGAUGCACGAAAGCGUGGGGAUCAAACAGGAUUAGAUACCCUGGUAGUCCACGCAGUAAACGAUGAUCACUAGCUGUUUGCGAUACACUGUAAGCGGCACAGCGAAAGCGUUAAGUGAUCCACCUGGGGAGUACGCCGGCAACGGUGAAACUCAAAGGAAUUGACGGGGGCCCGCACAAGCGGAGGAACAUGUGGUUUAAUUCGAUGAUACGCGAGGAACCUUACCCGGGUUUGAACGCAUUCGGACCGAGGUGGAAACACCUUUUCUAGCAAUAGCCGUUUGCGAGGUGCUGCAUGGUUGUCGUCAGCUCGUGCCGUGAGGUGUCGGCUUAAGUGCCAUAACGAGCGCAACCCUUGCCACUAGUUACUAACAGGUGAUGCUGAGGACUCUGGUGGGACUGCCAGCGUAAGCUGCGAGGAAGGCGGGGAUGACGUCAAAUCAGCACGGCCCUUACAUCCGGGGCGACACACGUGUUACAAUGGCGUGGACAAAGGGAAGCCACCUGGCGACAGGGAGCGAAUCCCCAAACCACGUCUCAGUUCGGAUCGGAGUCUGCAACCCGACUCCGUGAAGCUGGAUUCGCUAGUAAUCGCGCAUCAGCCAUGGCGCGGUGAAUACGUUCCCGGGCCUUGUACACACCGCCCGUCAAGCCAUGGGAGCCGGGGGUACCUGAAGUCCGUAACCGCGAGGAUCGGCCUAGGGUAA